GUAAUGUUUGUGCUAAACAAUAGCAAGGUAAUGUUUGUGCUAAACAAGAGCAAGGUAAUGUUUGUGCUAAACAACAGCAAGGUAAUGUUUGUGCUAAACAAGAGCAAGGUAAUGUUUGUGCUAAACAAGAGCAAGGUAAUGUUUGUGCUAAACGAGAGCAUGGUAAUGUUUGUGCUAAACGAGAGCAAGGUAAUGUUGAUUAGAAGGUCUUUAUUUCAGAACCAUUGUGUAGCAUGUAUACAGCUCCAUUCAGCACAUAGUAAUGAAUGCCUAACUUUGCUCACUCCUACUAUAGGGUACCACACUCAGAUACACAUAACAGCAGCGCCAUCUAUUGGCUUGACGACAUCUCAGUGGUGAGUUUAAGGAAGACCAAUACCACCAAGAACACUCUGCCUGAAUCUAGACUCUGAAAUGGGCAAGAAGAUACAGACUGAGUGGGUCCAGAAGAACUGACCCAAACAUGAUAUGUAAACCAUGUUUUAUAGUUCCUCUUCUUCUUCUUCUUCUGAGAAACUGUGUGACCUAUCUGGCCUGGGGCAAGUUAAGGUGCUCUAUGGGCUCUAAAUUAAAAUGUUUCAUUGGUAGGACUGGUGCUUCCAACUUAAAAAAGUGAGGAGGACAAAAUAAAAUCUAGGAGAACGAGAAAAUAUUAUUUUUCUUUCAAUUCGAUUGAGAUACAGCCUAUAAUGGGGCUAUGGGAUGGGGCUAUAGGAUGGGGCUAUAGGAU
rnacentral:lncRNA from 1 species